UACGAAGGGGGCUAGCGUUGUUCGGAAUCACUGGGCGUAAAGGGCGCGUAGGCGGCUUUAUAAGUCGGGGGUGAAAGCCUGUGGCUCAACCACAGAAUUGCCUUCGAUACUGUAGAGCUUGAGACCGGAAGAGGUAAGUGGAACUGCGAGUGUAGAGGUGAAAUUCGUAGAUAUUCGCAAGAACACCAGUAGCGAAGGCGGCACUCUGGGCCGGUACUGACGCUGAGGAGCGAAAGCGUGGGGAGCGAACAGG
rnacentral:rRNA from 1 species